GACGAACGCUGGCGGCGUGCUUAACACAUGCAAGUCGAACGGAAAGGCCCCUUUGGGGGUACUCGAGUGGCGAACGGGUGAGUAACACGUGAGUAACCUGCCCUUGACUUCGGGAUAACUUCAGGAAACUGGGGCUAAUACCGGAUAGGAAUCCUUGCUGCAUGGUGGGGGUUGGUAAGCUUCGGCGGUUUUGGAUGGACUCGCGGCUUAUCAGCUUGUUGGUGGGGUAGUGGCUUACCAAGGCUUUGACGGGUAGCCGGCCUGAGAGGGCGACCGGCCACAUUGGGACUGAGAUACGGCCCAGACUCCUACGGGAGGCAGCAGUGGGGAAUAUUGCACAAUGGGCGGAAGCCUGAUGCAGCAACGCCGCGUGCGGGAUGACGGCCUUCGGGUUGUAAACCGCUUUCAGCAGGGGCGAAGCUUGUGGUGACGGUACCUGCAGAAGAAGCACCGGCUAACUACGUG
rnacentral:rRNA from 1 species